AUUGAACGCUGGCGGCAUGCCUUACACAUGCAAGUCGAACGGUAACAGGUCUUCGGAUGCUGACGAGUGGCGAACGGGUGAGUAAUACAUCGGAACGUGCCCGAGAGUGGGGGAUAACGAGGCGAAAGCUUUGCUAAUACCGCAUACGAUCUCAGGAUGAAAGCAGGGGACCGCAAGGCCUUGCGCUCACGGAGCGGCCGAUGGCAGAUUAGGUAGUUGGGGGGAUAAAAGCUUACCAAGCCGACGAUCUGUAGCUGGUCUGAGAGGACGACCAGCAACACUGGGACUGAGACACGGCCCAGACUCCUACGGGAGGCAGCAGUGGGGAAUAUUGCACAAUGGGGGAAACCCUGAUGCAGCCAUGCCGCGUGCAGGAUGAAGGCCUUCGGGUUGUAAACUGCUUUUGUACGGAACGAAAAGACUCCUUCUAAUAAAGGGGGUCCAUGACGGUACCGUAAGAAUAAGCACCGGCUAACUACGUGCCAGCCGCCGCCGUAACAC
rnacentral:rRNA from 1 species